rnacentral:misc_RNA from 1 species
CAUUAAUAAAGAUAUAAUGACUCAGGAAUUGAAUGGGACUUUCUAUACUGGGAAUGGCAAAGAACAUUGCCUGAAAGGGAGCGAGAACGAUUUGGCCUUACCGGCGACGGCGACGAGGAAAAGGUCGUCGGUGGAUGGGGCCAGAGGGAGUAACAUGAAUUUUCCGAGAAUAUGUAUAUGGGAGAGUGACGGUGAGGCUGGGGAUAUUACUUGUGACAUUAUUGAUACUGUCGAGGCUUCUAUGAUUUA